AUUGAACGCUGGCGGCAUGCUUUACACAUGCAAGUCGAACGGUAACAGGCCUUCGGGUGCUGACGAGUGGCGAACGGGUGAGUAAUGCAUCGGAACGUACCCAGAGGUGGGGGAUAACGCAGCGAAAGCUGUGCUAAUACCGCAUGUGGUCUGAGGAUGAAAGCGGGGGACCGAGCAGCAAUGUUUGGCCUCGCGCCUUUGGAGCGGCCGAUGUCGGAUUAGCUAGUUGGUGGGGUAAAGGCCUACCAAGGCGACGAUCCGUAGCUGGUCUGAGAGGACGACCAGCCACACUGGGACUGAGACACGGCCCAGACUCCUACGGGAGGCAGCAGUGGGGAAUUUUGGACAAUGGGCGCAAGCCUGAUCCAGCAAUGCCGCGUGCGGGAAGAAGGCCUUCGGGUUGUAAACCGCUUUUGGCAGGAACGAAACGGUGUCCGCUAAUACCGGGCGCUAAUGACGGUACCUGCAGAAUAAGCACCGGCUAACUACGUGC
rnacentral:rRNA from 1 species